CCCAUCCUUUCCUGUGAAAGACUGAGCAUUUUUUGGGAAGCUGUUUUUAUACCCAAUCAUGGCACCCACCUGUUCCAAAUUAGCCUUCGCACCUGUGGGAUGUCCCAAAUAAGUGUUUGAUGAGCGUUUCUUAACUUUAUCAGUAUUUAUUGCCACCUUUCCCAACUUGUUUGUUGCGUGUUGCUGGCAUCAAAUUCUAAAGAUAAUGAUUAUUUGCACCAAAAAAAUGUUUAUCAGUUUGAACAUCAAAUAUGUUGUCUUUGUAGCAUAUUCAACUGAAUAUGGCUUGAAAAAGAUUUGCAAAUCAUUGUAUUCUGUUUAUAUUUACAUCUAACACAAUUUCCCAACUCAUAUGGAAACGGGGUUUGUACUUAAUUUAAUAAUUAUUUACAUUUAUGAAAGAGUAAUUCUGUUUGUAAUUGAAUUUUUAGUCAAGUAACGACUAUAAUUAUUCCUUUUUUAAAAUAGAUUCUCCAAACAUUGUUAAUUGAUAAACUGUUUUAUCAGGAUAUGGUGUAUUUGUUCUUGCAUCAAUUUAAAAAAGUUAUUUUGUGGUCAAGUACCGAGGGAAGUUCAUCUCAAGACAUGAGCGGGACAAGAGACAGAAACCCUCUAUAAAUAUCUUUACUAUUUAUCUGGCAUUAUAUGCUCAUAAUGUUAACAACAAAAAGUGCUGAUAAUGUUAUAAUUAAUAAGUUCUAACAUUAUUUUUAUGUGUUUUGUUGCAGACACCAACUGUUGAUGUUCUAUCACAACAUUCUCCAGAUUCAUGUGAGCGAUAAACCGACUUCAUCCCUCCAACAGGUUAUUUCUUGACUAUUUUACUAUCCAUCCAUCCAUCCAUUUUCUACUACCUGUCCCUUUUUUGGGUUGGCGGGGUGUGCUUGAGCCUAUCUGAGCUGCAUUCGGGCGGAAGGCGGAGUGCACCCUGGACAAGUCGCCACCUCAUUACACGGCCAACACAAAUAGACAACAUUUACACUCACAUUCACACACUAGGGCCAAUUAAGUGUUGCCAAUCAACCUAUCCCCAGGUGCAUGUCUUUGGAGGUAAGAUGAAGCCGGAGUACCCGGAGGGAACCCACGCAGUCACGGGGAGAACAUGCAAACUCCACACAGAAAGAUCACGAGCCCAGGAUUUAACUCAGGACUACUCAGGACCUUCGAUUUGUGACGCACAUGCACUAACCCCUGACCCACCGUGCUGCCCUAUAUCUGCUAAAAACUUGACACAACCUAUACUUCAAAAGACAUUUAAUCCUUUUAACCUCUCACAGAUCAGUUUAUAUGACAACAUUUUUUAAGCGUACAUCCAUGUUAGUCUGUGGAAUUUACAACUCAUGUUUAGCAAAACAGGAGAUGUUACAGGUCAGCAACAUGAAUUCUAUAUGUGAUCACUUGUCAUGUACUCAUAUUGUUUGAACUAAAAAAGACUUCAGUGUGUUUCAUAUAAGGUCCUCAUAUUUUUCUGAACCACAUUAGUGUGUGUUACAAUGUUUAAUUCAAAGCUUUAAAAUGAGUGUUUCAAUCCAGGUCCUCAUAUUUUCUGAACCACAUUUUAGUGAAUGUUACAUUCUUAAAUAAUAGUCUAAGAGCUAAAACGCUAUAAUAAUCUUUACUGUUUAUGUAGAAUUAUAUGAUCAGAAUAUUAUCAACCAAAAGUGGUUGUUAAUGUUAUAAUUAAUUAGUUCUGACAUUAUAUUUUUGUGUUUUGUUGCAGACACCAACUGUUGGGGUUCUAUCUCAACAUUCUCCAGAUUCAGAUGUGAGCGAUAAACCGACUUCAUCCCUCCAACAGAAACCAACUGUUGAGGUUCCAUCUCAACAUUCUCCAGAUUCAGAUGUGAGCCAUUAACUGACUUCAUCCCUCCAACAGAAACCAACUGUUGAGGUUCUAUCUCAACAUUCUCUAGAUUCAGAUGACAGCCAUAAACCGACUUCAUCCCUCCAACAGAUUGAAAGCAGGACAAAUCGCUGGAAGUGGGUAUGUCUCAAGCUUCUUCCACUUGGUCCACUCCAAAGCGGGGUGAAUAAAUAAUCUACAUCAUUUACUAGAAUAUUAUAUUACGUUUUGCACCUUUUCACUGUGUUAUAGUCAUUAUUCCUUCAGUAAGAAAUUGUAUUUUGUCUCCUUUAUGACAACUGCAAAGGGGAAGAAGUGGAAGCAGUUGAAUGACACAUGUUGCAUUUUGUAACUGGCAACAAAGUACCAGGUAAAAAAGAUUGUGAAGCCUGCCUCCAUAAAGAACUAGUAGCUCUACAGGACAGAGAUUGGCUUGACAUCAAGUACUACAUCCAUAACAGAAUUAUAUUAAAAAAAGGGAAAAAAAAUGUUUUCCCACAUCUUCUGUGGUAGUUUGAGUAUGUUACCAGCAAUUAAAAAAGCAAAAUAAACAGCAGGCGUUUUGUAUUUAUUCCAGAUAAUUCUUAGCGACAAAAUCCACAAAAACAAUUCAGUUACACUUAGUCGACAAUUACAUUUUUACCCAUGUUUCUUUUAAACUCUUCUUGGUUGUAGAUUACAGUAGCAUGGGAUUGGGAUUUUUUUUUUAAAUGACAACACAUCAACUAAACCAACUCAGGUGGUUUUGUUAAGUCUCUGAUGUCAUUAGCCUCAUAUGUCACAUGAACCUGAAAUCUUUAACACUCUGUGAUGUCAUGGUUGUCAUAUUUCACAAACUUGAAAUCUUAAACACUCUGUGACGUCAUGGUCAUCAUAUGUCACAUGAACUUGAAAUCUUAAACACUCUGUGAUGUCAUGGUCAUCAUAUGUCACAUGAACCUGAAAUCUUAAACACUCUGUGACGUCAUGGUCAUCAUAUGUCACAUAAACUUGAAAUCUUAAACACUCUGGUCUUCAUUUGUCACCUAAACCUGACAAGUCCUCAUAUGUACCAUAAAAAUCAGGUUCAGAAAAAAACAAAAGAGUUGCAAAAAUCUCAAUAGACCACUGUGUUUCUAAAAUUCUGGUUCACUAACCGUCUGAGUCCCAGGCCUGUAGGACCAUUGGAAAGGCAUGUCCCCAUAUGUCACGUUUUUGUCAUAAGUCCUCAUAUG